UACGAAGGGUGCAAGCGUUACUCGGAAUUACUGGGUGUAAAGCGUGCGUAGGCGGUUUGUUAAGUCUGUUGUGAAAGCCCCGGGCUCAACCUGGGAAUGGCAAUGGAAACUGGCGAGCUAGAGUACGGUAGAGGAGAGUGGAAUUCCCGGUGUAGCGGUGAAAUGCGCAGAUAUCGGGAAGAACACCCGUGGCGAAGGCGGCUCUCUGGGACGGUACUGACGCUGAGACGCGAAAGCGUGGGGAGCGAACAGG
rnacentral:rRNA from 1 species